UCAAUGUUGGAUUGGUAUCCGUGGCUUCCUCUCGGCGUCGCCCUCAUAUCUCUGGCUUUCGUUCUUGGAGAAGAGCCGAGCGACCUCAACCUAGGAAGAGAACCCGUAACUUAAUCCUCGAGCUGCUUGAAGACGUUGUACCGGCAUCGUCCUUCAUUUUGUCAUCGUCAUUGUUUAUCUGAUAUGGUUCUUUCAUUUGGAGGUAGAGGAGGGAGAAUAGAGGGUUGUAUAUCUAAUCGAUUCUCUGCUUCAUACGGUUGCCGAAGUGUUCCAUACUUCUCUACGUCAUAGAACUCCCUUGGUGGCUGGCCUUUCCAAAGAUUUGUUGUCUGACAUGAUGUAUGAUGUUGGUUUGGAAGGUUUAUGGUUUAAGGGGAGAGAGAGAGGCAGAAGAAGUAUUUAAGGGGGAGAUCAAAAGCCCAACGGCAUGUUCCCUUACCAACUUAUCAAAACGUCGACAUGCUGCGCACACCACAAAGUAAUGCAGAGAGAGGCAGAAGAGAUGAAGAGAUGGAAUAAGAGGGACCAAGGAGGAGAGAGUAAAUGACAAAUGAAAAGAAAGAUGAAAAAGGCUAAAACUCAUUUUCUCAACCACACACGAGCAUGUUUGACCGAUCGGAAAGCGCUUGCGACCAAGCUGCUCUCUCUCGAAACGUAUCUGAUCUCCAUGUUCGACGGUUAGGCUUUCUAUGCUCUCAUUUUCUUUGAUUGGUUGAUUGCUUGUAGUGUGAAAUUUAUGGGUUUAUUUAG